rnacentral:lncRNA from 1 species
AUUUACACAUACUUAAAUAAAAAAACGAUAAAAAAUAAAAAAAAUAAGAUAUAUUAAAAAUAAUCGUUAUAGAGAAUACAAAUAUACAAGUAGGUAUUUUUAUGCAUACGUCGGUAAAUUUAAUGAUAAAUGGUUAUUGACCUCUCUUCAUAGGAUGACAAAUGACUCUCUCUCAGAGAGAGCAAUAGUUUAGCUCCAUAAUACAUCGAUAACACACGUCAGAAGAGAGACAUUCCAAUCGAUUGAUGAACCGUCUAACUCUCUAACUGGAAUUUGUUCGGAACGAAAUUGCCGCGUGGCAUCACGACGGACAUAUUUACUGGCUGCGUGGCAUAAAAAGCCGGAUAAAGCGGAAGAGAUUUCGGGAUGUGGUAAGGAAGGAUGAGGAAGCGACUUGCUUUGAUCUUUCACAUGGAGAGAAAAAGGAAUGAUAGAUACGUUAGGGAGAUGCAAGGAUCGAGAAGAGUAGAAUAGUGAAAUAGUGGGGAAAAAGAUUGAUAAGAUGUUCAAAGGAAGGGGAAUUGGUCCCAUCACUACUGGUACAGAACGGACCUUUUGAUGGAGAGGGGACAUAUACCAAGGUCCACCGGGCCUGUUCUUAGAUGAUCAGAGACACGGCUGAUGGGCCAGUAGUGGCCCCAGAAAUUCCAACAAGGACGGGGCAUAAUGCGCGACUCAAGGUCGGUUCUACUACCGACCAGAAAGUCCGAGAUGGGACCACGUUCAGCAGGGUCGUACCGUGACCUCGUCAGGUCUUCCUUCCCUUCUCCUCUCAUUUUACAAACCCCCUACUCCAUUCCUGCUGUCGUCCCUUACAGGCUCCGCCAGCAACAGGAUUGUGCGCUUGCCCCGCGGCGCCCUGCAUAUAGAGCCCCUGCAUACCACUAUGAUCGCUGAGCUGAAAAAAAUUUAUACUCCCCAGGGAUAAAUUCGAAUAAUAUUCUGAAAUUCGAAAAGUAGUCUCGUUUUUAUGUUUUGACAAUUUAACGAAAUUAUUCGCUAUCAGAGCUAAAUACACGCGUAGGUAUGAAACAUUGUUUCUGUCGAUGGAUAAAAAAAUGUUUUUUCAUUUUAGAGAAAUUUAGGUCAGGAUAACCUUGGCCGGUAAAAAAAAUUUCAUUUCAAUGGAAUUUCCAUCGAUUCAAGAAUCAAAGAAGAUUAAACGUGGCUGGAAGGUUAAAAGGAAGAAGCAAAAUUUCAACAUGUAAUGUCAUAAAUAUUCAUGAUGCGCGAGUAAACGUAGCACGUGUACGUACGUUCUACUAUCAAUUAGAUUUACGAAUAUUAUGUGAAAUAUAUAUAAUAUUUGAAAGAAAAAAACAAAGUAGAGAGGAUAAAGAAGGGAUUUAGAGACAGUAUUGGAUGAAAUGAAAGAGAAGGAGAGGAAGAAUAGGAAAAGCGAGUGGGUGGGGAGCAAGGGGCAGCGCAAGGGCUCGAUUGCGACGGUCCUGCCAGGCCUCAGGAUGAGGCCCGCCUUUUUACACCGGAUAAGAAAGAACCGCUUGAGGCCACCGUGGUUGAAGCGAGAUAAAUGAAAAUACUAUGGAAAGAGUAGAUGGAAAGAGAGAAGAGGAAAGAAGGUCUAUAUAAGAUUGAGAGAGAUAGAGUCCGCGAUGUAUGUAAGCAAGCGAGACAGAGACAAAGAUCGAAGGAUUAAACGGAAGAAGGGAGAGAGGGAGCGAGCGAAUGAGAGAGAAAGAGAGAGAGAAAUAGAAGAG